UACGUAGGGUGCAAGCGUUAAUCGGAAUUACUGGGCGUAAAGCGUGCGUAGACGGUUAUUUAAGUCGGGUGUGAAAGCCCCGGGCUCAACCUGGGAAUGGCCGUUGAAACUGGCGAACUGGAGUGUGGCAGAGGGGGGUGGAAUUCCGCGUGUAGCAGUGAAAUGCGUAGAGAUGCGGAGGAACACCGAUGGCGAAGGCAGCCCCCUGGGCUAACACUGACGCUCAGGCACGAAAGCGUGGGGAGCAAACAGG
rnacentral:rRNA from 1 species